GCAGGGGCAUUGGAACUGGAUGGUCUUUAAGGUACCUUCCAACUCAAACCAUUCUAUGAUUCUACUGACCUAAUCAUGAUUUCUAAGGAUCUAACAUUUCCUAUGUAUUUUUUAACACUGCAAGAGAUGAACAAGUACUUGGUUAAUAUCAGGAGUCCAAGACCUUGGAAACACAUUGCAAAACUAGAAAAUCAGGAGUAAACUGGGAAUUGAGUAAAAUAAUUCUGCCUGAAACAGUAGUAAACAUAUGGAAUAAUUGGCCAGCGAAGCGAGUAAUCUAAAUGAGUUUAAGAGACAUCUGGACAUUUUUAUCUCAGGAGAGAAAGGACUGAAGGAUAUAGUGAUAAAACUGGGAGGUGAGGAUGAAAUACACUGAAAGAGAAAAGGCUUGCUGAACCAAAUUGCCUUUCUCUAGUCAGCAGUUUCUUAUGUUUAUAAAUGUAAUAUAAAAAGCUGCUGUAUGAAUACACUAUUUCUACAUAGUGUCACCAUGUCUAAAGAGGAAACAUUUUGUUUCAGAAGAUGGAUUUAGCUGAUGCAGCCUCCACUGUCAGUAAUAGAACUUCUGGAUCCACCCACUAAACACAAGCUCAGCUGCCCCCACUAUCUCUCCAAAAAGUGAAUUAUUUAUACUGUAGUUCAACUUGCAAAUUACUUAAUGUAGUAGUACCUCACAAUCGGUUUCUUGGCAAAUCAGUGGCUAGUGAAAGUGUAAAGUAAAGCCAUGGAUUUGUAGUUCAGUUAGCCUUAAGGGAAAAUUUCCUUUAUUACUGCUUGCCUCCCAACCAUGAAAUUUUGGAUUAGCCAGGGUGGAAACAUUAUCAAUACAGGUAUUAACAAAUAAAGCCAAAUUUAUUCGAAGUAGUGUAUCUAGCUAGUCCUGUCUCUAGCUAGAUCUAAUUUAGGUAAUAAUUUUCUUCACAAGCAUCACAGUCACACCAUCAUUUCUUGCAGAAAAUUGAAAUUAAAAAAAAAAAAAAAAGAGUGAGAGAGAAGCAUAAAAUAUAGAAAAUGGAAACAGCAUUAAAUUUUCAAUACUAACUUUUGUAUCCAUGCUCAAAGUUCAAUUUCAAUACAAGUCCUAUAUGUGGUUACUUAACUUCCCAACAGCUUCACAAAUCAGACAUUUGGAUGUGUAAUUGGCAAGGUUUAUGACUGUAAUUAAUUGUGGUUUUAACUGAUGGCAGAUGCAAAAUUGCACCUCUAGGAAAGGAGGCCAGGUUGAGGCCCUUUUAAAAAUCAUGUUCUUCAGGUUGAACCAGAAAGAUUGUAUGGUAAGUUGAAUGAAUUUCAAAAAGACUUGAUUUUCCACUUACUUGCAAUUUUGCUUUUGCUGGUGAAACAUCACUGGCUUUAGCACAGUUUUCCUGAUUAGUACUGGUGCAAGUUAAAAAAAAAAAAAAAAAAAAAAAAAAAAAAAGUCUAUGUCUGGAAUUAGGGGUGUGGGAGGAAGCUGGAUGUAUCAGUGCUGAGUAUGCAGCUGUACCACUUAUGUUUGGAAAGAGAGGCAGUAUUGCCAGCUUCCUCUGUUUAGAAGUGUUGGAACAGAUUGGUGAAAUGCCCAUUCUGACACUAAAAUUACAAUUUUGAUAAUACCAUAACCACUCUGCUUCUGUCCCCUGCUGUGUCAGAUGAGCAUUUCUGGAAAGAGUAACCCUUGCCCAAAGUCAUGCUGUUUCCAGAAAUUUAGAUGUGCUCUGACACUGUGCAAAAAUUCUUAAAAGAAAAGAAGCAGGGAGGAAAGGGGAAAGGAGAGGACUGCCAACUCUGAGGAGAGAUUUAAUAGAAACCCCUUAAGUUCAUUUGUACUAGCUCCUUUGCACCUCAUCAUUUUACUGUGUGAAGGGAGACUGAAAUAAGGAUCUCCACUACAUUACCAUGAGAUACAUAUUUCUUUGAAGUGUUGUCAUAUAUGAUUCCUAUUCCCAAUUGCAUUUAAUGAAGAACAAUAAAGCAAUGUAACAAGUUUGUGUAAUUCAAAUAAGCUUGCACAAAAAUAGUCAGGUAGCCAUAUUAAUUAGUGGGGGAGAAAUGUGGUCAUCCCCAGCAUAUGUACUACAACUCCAAUACAGAAAUCACAGAUUACUGAAUUGUCCCAUUUGGAUGUACAAUGAAGCUUUCCAUUGCUCUUGAUAAUUGGGACUUUCAUUAUUCUUUUCCCACCCGCCAGGAGAAAGGAUAAUAAAUUCCACUGUCUACAAAUCAUGUACUGGGCACAGGUCCCUCUUUCAGCACUUCAACAUGGAAUUAUUUGUAAUAGAGACCAUAUUUGCACAGUUCUCUUCUGCUUGGCAGGUUUAUCCUUUACAUGCAACCGAACCUACAGAAAUUAUUUUGUACUUGGGAAGCAUAGAUUUUAGCACACUAUAUUUUCCAUUAGAUUUCAGGCAUUGGAAAUAUCUUCUACCCUCCCCCACCAUUAAUUUUCUUUUCUGCACUUUGAUUCAUCUUAAAAGGUAGCCUUUCUCUUGGGCUAGCACUGCAGGCAAUGACUCACCAGAGACUUGUUCCCUAGUGACAGCAAUAAGCCUCCCUGGACUCACUUAAGAAGAUGUUUGCCAAGCCUUUACUGCUCAUCCAAAAUGCACGGGGUGGAAAAGAAACUGUCUGAAAUUGCUAAUAUUUUACUCUUUAUAUCUGAAGGUUCAUUUGUCUUAGCCAGGAUGGUGCCAAACUGCAGGGUAAAGAACAGGGUAAGGAAUUCCAGUCCCAGGGCUGCAUUGCUGCUUCACAGUUCUGGGGGAGUUUUCUCAUGGAGAUUUCCAGGGAAGGCCCAGACAAAGCAGUGCCUGGAAGAUGGGUAUUUGUGUUUGUGACAGACUAGAUUCUUCACUGAGGAAUUUCCAAAAAAAAGUUAAGCCUUUUUAACUUCUCCCAAUAUGAUACAAUCUAACAGCUCUCCUUGGCUUAUCCUUGAGAUUCAGAACAUGUAAGAUUCAGGCACUGCUCUCUGAGUUAAUUCCUCUCCCAUACAGUUUUCCCCUUUGCAGGAGAAAAGGUCUCACAAUACUUACCUAGCACCCCACAAAGGAGUGGAAUCUUAUUGGUAAUACAAAUAGUUCACAGUUCAUAAAUGCAUAGACAAUGUAAGUUUCUGAGAUUUAUUUUAAUUAUAUUUUCUGCAGGUUCACACGGUUUGGAGAACUUUGGAAAUAGAAAAAUGUCAGAAUGAGAGAAUUUGCAUGGCAGGAGGGGAUUUCCUAAUCACAGUUCCAGUUCUGUUGCAGGAGAUCUCAUAGAUUACCAGUGAAGAGAGAAAUAUAUCUUCUUUUCAGUGUGAACAAUUCCAGAUUUCCUCCUUUGCAAUGAAAAUACAGAAAACUAUUAACAGAGAACAUAGGGAAAGCACUGAUUUAAAAUUUCUGUUUAAGAACACUUUUGCUGUGCUUGCUUCAAGUUUCAUUUCCUGGUUCAUUGUUUUAUUGUGAUUGUAGCAGAAAACAUAUUCUGUUCUUUGUAUGUGACUCAUAAUCAUUGUUGCUGACUAUUCAUUUAGUUCAGACUUGCUGCUGUGUCCCAGCCCUUGUCCAAGAUCGGCAUUGUUCUAGCAUUUGGUUGGAAACGCAAGCUGGUUUUAUUUCUCUUUUUAUACCUUGCAAGGUAAACAUGGGAGAGAUAGUACAUUUUCCAUGUGUUUCCAGACAUAUCUUAUCUUUGAUAUUAGUCACUCUAAACUGAUGUUUCAGCCUGUUUAAAGUUGACCUCUUGAGUUGUGAACUUCCUUGAAAAGCACUGAUAAGCAAAAAAUUUUAACAGUGAUUAGUGAGGGAGUGGUGAGGCAGCAUUAGCCUUUUACUUCAGGAAGGCAGAAUCCAAAUUUGGUGGAAAUUCCCAGGUGAAAAAUAAAAUGUGAAAAUCAGCAUGGCAGCUUCAGUUUGGUACUUGUAAAAGGAAAUGGCAUAUGUUUCAGAAAGAGCAUAGACUGUAGGUGCUUGCCAAAAGAUUCAGUUGCUCUCUGGAGUCAGGAAAGGGAGGUGUGUGCCUGAAGAGCAACAUUAGUGACCAUGUCGCUUUCCAGCUUCAAAUUCUCAAAUCUCUCCAGCUUUCCAUUCUCAAAUCCCAGAUUAAACAGGUGGGAUUUUUGCUGUGAAGGACCAAACCCUGCCACAGUCCAACCUUCCCCUCUUAGUAUGCACUAAUUUGACCAUGCAGGGUCAAUUAUUUCACAAUUCUGUUUCAUUUUUGCCCAGGAGGUUGUAAAUAAUGGAAACACAUGGUUAGGGGUAGAGUGAAGAAAUCUCUUCUUAAUGAGCAGUUUAUUCAGUCAGGGUUAGGCUUUUUCCUUUUCAUGAAUUUGUUGAUUACUUGGUGAGUGUUUCAUGUAAAUAAAUCUUAGCCUGGGACUGCUUGCAAAAUCAGUUCCCUGCAUGCAUUCAUUAUUCACUUUUUCCAUUUUUUCAUUGGUCACCUAACCCACAUGGUCUGAUUUCUAAUUGUCUACAUGAAAGUAGCUGUACAAAAAAUUUUGCUAACAAAAGGAAGGAUGUUAGCAAGUUUUCAUACUCUAGUGGACAGUGUGGGAACAAUUGACUGAAUUAGGAAGAGGCAAGUUGGCAAAAACAGGGAGAUUUUUUUUUUUUUUCCCCAGCUCUCUUGAAUCAGGUCUUUCCCUAAAAUAUCACUGUUAGAAUACAUAGUAGAAAAAUCUGGCAUGGGCCAAGAUGAGAUUGCAAAAAUUCCAUUAUAUUUGGGGAACAGUAACUCCAUAUGUACUUUUUUUUUUUUUUUUUUAAUUAAGGAAAGGCAGAACAUUCAGGCAUCAGUGGAAUACCUAGAUCUAGCACGAGUCUAUAAAAGAACAGGAGGGGAUGGGUCCUAUGCUCAAAGAGCAAGUCUGAAAGUUGAAGAAGACUUCCUUGUGUUUUGGUUACAAUUACGCCAGAGGUCUCUGUGAAGUUUGAGCACCAAGCACCACAAUGAUAUUCAUACCUGUCCCUUUAGGAGCUCAGCCCUCCAAUUGCAAAGCCAACAUGGCUGUGAUUCAGCAGUGCCUUUUAUUUUUUAUCUUAUUUUACAGUUUUCUAUUGUCUAUGACAGAUCAUCAGUGUUAUUUUCACAUACACCAAGUAACUAUGUUAUAGGGAUAUUUGCUUAUUCUUCUCUUGGAUGGUUGCACUUAGAGACUCCUUAAGCCUCCACUCGUGGCUGUGUGGGGAAAGGCCAGUACAGGAAACUUGAUCUUGCUGCUUUCUGAAACAGUCCUCUAUUUGUACUUGCCUUCAUACAUUAUCAGCAUGUUAACAAGCACGACAGCCGUGUAAUAAGAUAGGGAGUUACAAGAAUAUGUGCUCCUGCCAGUCCUGAUCCAGCAGGGAAGUCCUGAGAUGAGCGCUUCUAGUAAAGCUACUGCCUGCUCUGCCUCUUCUGCUGCUGCUGGGGCAUGGUGCUUGGUACAAAGGUACAAGUCUGUCAGCACAAAUGGUCAAGGUAAAGCAGCAAGCCAUUAGAAAUGAUUCCACCCACUCACUGCGUCCCCCAAAAAACAUGAAUUUGUUAUAAGUGGAUAGGCUUGGAAUUAAUUUAGCCACAAACAUUCAUGCAAGCAAAAAUCAUUUGUGCAAAUGCUCAUGAGAAAAAUGAAUGGGACAGGGUUCAAAAUAAUAAACUCUGAUCAGUCUCUGAUCAGUCUCACCUUCCUCCAAGAAACACACAGCACUCCUUCAUCCAUCCUUAGUUAGUAGAACAAAACAAACAUUAUUCUAUUUAUUAGAGGAGGGAUAGUUAAGGAGGUAUGGGUUUGAUUAACAUUUUCUAUUUUAUAAAUGUUUAUUAUUACCUUAUAAUGUUUAUAGUCGUGCUUUAAUUAAAAUUUCUUUACAAUGUACAGAGGUGAAAAAGACAAUGCAAAUGCUAGCUUUUUCAACCUGGAAAACCAUUGUACAUUAAACAAAAUAACUGAUUUGUAUUGAUUUCUACACAUGUGAUGGUGAGGUAUUUAGAUCCCAUUCCUGCAGGGUAUUCAUGCAUUCCCUUACAGUUAAGAAGCAGUUAGCAGGAUGAACCCCAGACCAUUUUGGAUUUGGGUCCUCUUUAGGUGCACAAAGGAAUUCAGAAAAAUAAAGAAAGUCAGUUGAAAAUUCCUGAUCAAAAGUCAUCAAUAACUCUGCUCAUUGACCUUGCUGUCACUAAUAAGACUAUCAGAGACUGGCUGCAUCACAAAAAUAAUCAUGGUCUAAUGUGAUGCUGACCCUGUUGUGUCUUUUACAUUUUGGCAUGAAAAAGAAAUAACAGAAUCUCUCCACAGGCUAUACAUGUAUAAUAAAUACUGAUUGGUUAUACUGCUAAUUUUAUGUGAUAAAGAUAUUAAAAUAGUGUCAAUAAACCAGAAACAAGUGAUGUGUAAAAUAAUUAACACUAAAGGGAAUAUAAUAAAUUACUUAUUAAAAUCCAUAGAUGGAUUAUAUGACCCUGUGAUUACAGAGACUAUGGAACACAUGACUUGGUAUACAUCUUCUGAUCCAAACACCUCAUUGCACUCUGUCAGAUUACUGGCUCCUGACAUUAAAUAAAAUUCAGGUAUGAUUUAUGGGGUGGCCUUUUGACAGGAGCUAGAAUCAGAAAUGGUUUAGGCUUUGCCAGUGUUCAGCAAUGUUUUCAUUACCUACUGAUAUAAUGCAAGUAUUACAUUUAGUCAACCGAAUUACGUGUAGUUCUCUGAGAUUCUCUCUCACUCCCUGUAGUCAUUGUUCCACUCAUAAUAAAAUUAUCCUAUCAAUUUGCCACAAGAGGAAGACUGGAGUUCACUAAAUUACAGCCAUGUGUGUUUGUGCUCUAGACAAAGUGAUACCAAUUAAAAAUAAUAAUAAUAAUAAUAACCACCACCACCAAGUAGAUUCUAUUUUUAAAUUGUUCAUGGAUAACAGUGAGAUUGUCUCACAGAGGAGGCCACCCCUGAAUUCCAAACACUGGAAAUUUCAUUUUCCUUAAUUAGUAAAACAGCAUCUAUCUAGAAAAAAAAAAAAAAAAGAAAGGAAAAAAAAAAAAGAAUAAAACAACAAGCAAGAUGCUAAAUAAUGUCAGAAACGACACCUGGCCUCCCCUGUGACUGAUUAGUUUGAUAGCAAAUAGAGAUUUGGUGUGUGAGGUGGAAGCAUCAUUUUGCACUCCUUUCCUCCCCUCCCUGUAUAUAUAUAUUUAAGACAGCCUGAAAAAGGUGUUUUUAUACACAGACAGCAAAACACCCCAGUUCUGACAGCUGAAGCAAAACCAUCUCAGUGGUUUAGCAGUACUGCCACACAGAAGACCUGAGUUUGGGAGUGGCCUGGGGGCACUCUCUUUAUGAGCCUUUGAUGCUCUGAUGUGUCACAGAGGUGAUACGCUUUGACUCCUUAGACUCCAGGCAGCAGAGCUUGCUGACGGCUCCUGCCUCUGUAAGCACCUCCUGAUGGCUGAAUUAUGACAAAGCACUCGCAUGGUGUGGUAGGAGAUUGCUUAGCCCUGGCCAGGCUGGGGAAUGAAUAAAGUUAAUAGCUGUUUCAUGUACUAUGUACUGGUACACAAACUGCUCCCCAAAUUAACCUGGCUCUGUAUCAGAAGAACAAUUUACAGAGAUUCAGCAGCAACAUCUUGGCUUUGUGCAAUGUGUAAUGCAGAAUGACUUCCUGGGGCCAUCUCCAAACUUUCUGCUUACAACCUGUGAUUAUUCCUUUUCAUCCUAGUGAAUUACUACUUUUUUAUUUUUUAACAGCUCCUAGCUCUUGUGACUUUUGUAUUAAUAAGCGUUCAGCUGAGGACCAGAAAUUACUACCUUAUAGUUAAACCUGGAGACAUGACACCCAUGUAAUCUGCAACUUCUGAGGCAUCAGAAUACUUCAGGUGUGCUGACUUACAAGCAGGUCUCCCCCUUCUAAUUUCUCUCUAUUGAUAUUCCUUUUUUCUUCUAUUUUGCUAUUGUCUUUGUAUUGCUAUUUGAUGUGAUGCUGGAACUCUGUGCUGUUUGUACACUUCUCAUCAAGUGGUCCAAUGUGAAGGUAGCCAUGGAUCUCCACAAAUCUGUCUUACCUUGGCACUGUCAGGGUAUUCUGAAUGAUAUUUUGUGUUAGAGUUAGUUCUUUUAGUACUGUCGUAAUUCUUUUCAGAUACUGUAUAUUAACUCUGCGUGGUUGCUUCUUUGCUGUUGCUUUAUGUGUUGACGUUAUUGCUGGGCUCAGAGCUGCUCACCUACAGCUGUAGGUCCAUGGCUUUGCUAUGAAGUGCUUCCUGCUCAGCCGAUGUUUCACUUAAAUAAUCUGUUGCCCAUCUAUUGCCCUUCUUCUGGAUGGCUGCAGGCUAAUCCUCAUGGAAAUGAUCCUAAUUUAUCUGUCUGUGCUGGACUCACAUUUAGCUCCAGGGACAGUUUACUGCAGUGGUCCAAUACUGCAAAGUGGGGAUUAGUUCUUACCUUUUUUGCUUUUGCCAUUUGUCUUCUGUCUGUCUCUGAAAACUGCUGACAUGGGGGAGAUCAUGCCUUUCUGUUUACUCUUUGCUUAUGAGAAGACAUUCCCAGACUGACACAAUAUUAUUAAAAUUUAGCUGCUGUACAUUAAGCUCCACAUACUAGCCCAUGUAAUACCUUGCAAAAUGUGACUUAAGUUUUUGGUUUGUUGUUCUUGGUUUUCUAUUCCACAUACAUGCAAUCUAGCAUUAAGCAGUUAAGUGAGCACUUAAAUUAGGUGCUUAGCUGCCUUUUUAAUCAGCAUGGAUAGAGAGGGGCACUUUCAUAGUACAAUUCAGAUCACAGGUUAAUUUACCACGUUGAAGUAUUUAUUUUUCUUUGCUGCUGGUGAGAGUGACUCUCCAAGCUUUGCAGGAUGAACUAGGGCUCAAGUCUGCUAGCCCCAAAUGAGAGUAACAAUUCACUGUCAUUUUUAAAAGUUCAGUCCAAACCAAGUUUUGGAUUUCAUGAGGCUCUAGUAUCCUUUGUCAUUAGCUAUACUUAAAGCACCCCAUACACCCUAGCACAUCCAUCACUUGUCUUGUAAACCUGAUGUUUGGUUUGAUUUCUCAUCUUUUCUCUCGUAUUUAUCCCCCAAGUGCUCUAUGCAAACUCAUUUAAAUAUGGAAUGACAUCAUACCAGCAGCAUGCUACCAGUCACUUACUGAGGCUUAGCUGAUGAAUGAUCUCAUAUUGAGCUACAGUUACACAUUUGC